UACAGAGGGUGCGAGCGUUGUUCGGAAUUACUGGGCGUAAAGCGCACGUAGGCGGCUUUUUAAGUCAGGGGUGAAAUCCCGGGGCUCAACCCCGGAACUGCCCUUGAAACUGGAGAGCUAGAAUCUUGGAGAGGCGAGUGGAAUUCCGAGUGUAGAGGUGAAAUUCGUAGAUAUUCGGAAGAACACCAGUGGCGAAGGCGACUCGCUGGACAAGUAUUGACGCUGAGGUGCGAAAGCGUGGGGAGCAAACAGG
rnacentral:rRNA from 1 species